AGCGCCGGGUCGCCUGCAUCAGCCAUAAAACCAUUGAGGAUAUCAAGACAGGCGCCAGGUGGUAACUAACUGGGAAAGCCAAAUCCUCUGCCCGGACGAGAGAGGAAAACGAGCCCAGCAGCAGCAUCAACUCCUGAGCACUUUACCUGGAAACUUUGAAGGAGGGCUCUGCAUUAAAAUUUAACCGAUCUAUUCUCUAAUUCUUCACUUUUGCGUUAUUAAUUUAUGACAGAUAAAAGCAUAGCUGAGCCUUUCUCAUUAACUUUUCAAACGCCACUUAAUAUUGUUCCAUUAAAAGAGGUGACUUUAGUAGCCUCUGGAUCGACUUUAAAAGCGAGAGGGAUAAAGACGGAAAAGGUACAUUAAACAGCUUGCUUAAAACUCGUCCUUCCCCCCAACAAUUCCAAUGACACCAUCUCGACUGGUUCGUACUAGCUCCUUGCAGGGGAAAUAUCUUAAUAUUGGGAACGGGAAAGGGGGUGGAGGAGAAAGGCAGAAGAGGGAUAUAUAUCUUUCAACCCCUCCAUCCUCCCAGGCACUUCGGGGAGGGUUGGGGUGAAGGCAUUUCACAGUACGCCCAAGACAUUUCAAUAAAAAUUUAUUGAAACUUCAGUGACUUUUAAAAGGGGAGAAAAAAAUUACAGAAAAAAAAAAUAGCAAGAACUUCUCAACAUUUAUAUAACACAAAAUAUACCUUCAUUUUUUUUUUUUUUCUUUGAACCAGCUCUGAGCACCUGACUUUCAACCCAAGAAAAUAUGCACUCACUCAAACAAAGACAACAAUAAGCACAGUAGUGAAACUCCAUUGCGGGGUUGUUUUCUGACACACUGAGGAAACGGGCAAAAAUAAUAGAAAGUACAGAAAAUCCUAGAAUCUUCACCUCUUUUUUUUUUUUUUUUUCUCUCAAGCCACUGGAGAAGCCUGUUGUCGUGUAUAAACAUAUAUAAUUUUGUGGUUGUUGACAUUUUGAACACCGAAGAAAUCGAGGAUUAAAAGCUACCAUGGCACACUGCUUUGUCUUUUUCUCUCUUUGAAUUUUUUUAAGGUCUUUGAAUAAUUUGGUUUCUUUCUGCUUUGCCUUUUGCAUUCGGCUCCUUGACCAAAGGAGGAGGUUUUUCUGGGCUGAGCUCUGAUUUAAAAACUGAGCCCUCACAAACGGGGGAAUUUCUCCUCUGGGUCGGGAUCUAUGUUUAAAGGAAUUACCAACUUGAAAUGAAAACGACUAAAAAUAAAAACAGAAGGAAACAAAAGAAGACCGCUGCAGUCGUAUUUACAGAGAUAUGUACAAUGUCAAUAAAUUAAAGUUUAAUUUCGAGUAUUCAUAUUCCACGUAUUUACAAGAGUUAUCAAAUAAUUACAUAAAUACUUUGUUUUAAUAAUAGUGUCCACUCUUUUCUUCUUCUCAGUAUGUUAAACCUUGUUAUUGCAUAUACAAUUAAAGAGGGAAAGCUGUGAUAAAUCUACAGUCGAGCUACAGAGGUUUAUAGAUAAAAUAAAUUCACUUUUUUUUUCUUUCCAACUACACGUCUUAUUUUUGUUGCUACAAGGGAGGAUGUUUAAGGUAGAGGGACAAAGGUCUUAUUUUUGUUUUCAUUAUUAUUAAUAAUAAUUUUUUCCCUGGGAUUUGAAACGAGCAUUAAAAAUAAACAACAAAACCCCACUGAAAUAAAAAAUACCACCACCCCCCCUCAAAAAAAAAAAAAAAAAGCAGACUACUCUGGAACAUGCAAAAAAAAAAAAAAGCCACCAACUGGCUCUCAGACAUCACAAUAAUAUUUUAAACACACAGCUUCCCUUAAUAUCGACUAAGGGGGUUGUGGUUAACAACCCGCCCAGGAAACAACUGUUGAAAAACCAAUACGUGAGUUACUUACAAGCUUUUCUUUAGGACAGAAAAAAAAUCACUUCUCUUACUUAAUUUUUAUUCAUAAGUUUGUUUGAUAAUUUUUUUUGUUUUAUUUUUUCUUUUAGGUUUUUUUUCUCUUUUUUUUUUUUUUUUUUUUUUUUCCCGGUGUGUUUUGGUUUUGGGUUUUAUUUUUUUUUUUUUUUACACUGGUAAAAAAGAAAAUUAAAGGAGGAUGCCACAAACCCCACCGGUGCCUCGAUCCCUGUGAGGAGCCUCCGACCCAGCGCUCCCUCAUCCCCGACCCUUUUUUCCCUGCUCCACCAGAUAAACGCCGCGGGAUUUUAUAUUAAAAAAAAAAAAAAUAGAAGUAGGGAGGGAAAAAAAAAUAAAGAAGGGGGUAAAAAACAAACACUC